UAGGGAAUCUUCCGCAAUGGGCGAAAGCCUGACGGAGCAACGCCGCGUGAGUGAUGAAGGUCUUCGGAUCGUAAAACUCUGUUAUUAGGGAAGAACAAAUGUGUAAGUAACUAUGCACGUCUUGACGGUACCUAAUCAGAAAGCCACGGCUAACUACGUGCCAGCAGCCGCGGUAAUACGUAGGUGGCAAGCGUUAUCCGGAAUUAUUGGGCGUAAAGCGCGCGUAGGCGGUUUUUUAAGUCUGAUGUGAAAGCCCACGGCUCAACCGUGGAGGGUCAUUGGAAACUGGAAAACUUGAGUGCAGAAGAGGAAAGUGGAAUUCCAUGUGUAGCGGUGAAAUGCGCGGAGAUAUGGAGGAACACCAGUGGCGAAGGCGACUUUCUGGUCUGUAACUGACGCUGAUGUGCGAAAGCGAGGGGAUCAAACAGG
rnacentral:rRNA from 1 species